UGGGGAAUUUUGGACAAUGGGCGCAAGCCUGAUCCAGCAAUGCCGCGUGAGUGAAGAAGGCCUUCGGGUUGUAAAGCUCUUUCAGUCGAGAAGAAAAGGUUGUGACCAAUAAUCACAACUCAUGACGGUAUCGACAGAAGAAGCACCGGCUAACUACGUGCCAGCAGCCGCGGUAAUACGUAGGGUGCGAGCGUUAAUCGGAAUUACUGGGCGUAAAGGGUGCGCAGGCGGUUUUGUAAGUCAGAUGUGAAAUCCCCGGGCUUAACCUGGGAACUGCGUUUGAAACUACAAGACUAGAGUGUGGCAGAGGGGGGUGGAAUUCCAUGUGUAGCAGUGAAAUGCGUAGAGAUAUGGAAGAACACCGAUGGCGAAGGCGUCUACCUGGCCUAAUACUGACACUGAGGCACGAAAGCGUGGGGAGCAAACAGGAUUAGAUACCCUUGUAGUCCCUGAGCGGGCUGGCAAGGCGCAU
rnacentral:rRNA from 1 species